AUUUAAAUAGUUUAAAUUAAGAAUAGUAAUUUGUGGUGUUAUUGGUGUAGAUAUACUUUAAAUC
rnacentral:tRNA from 1 species